rnacentral:rRNA from 1 species
AGAGUUUGAUCAUGGCUCAGGAUGAACGCUAGCGGCAGGCUUAAUACAUGCAAGUCGAGGGGCAGCAGCUCGGUAGCAAUACUGAGGCUGGCGACCGGCAAACGGGUGCGGAACACGUACAGAACCUUCCUUCGAGCGGGGAAUAGCCCAGAGAAAUUUGGAUUAAUACCCCAUAGUAUAUUGAAAAGGCAUCUUUUUAAUAUUAAAGAUUUAUCACUUGAAGAUGGCUGUGCGCCUGAUUAGGUAGUUGGCGGGGUAAUGGCCCACCAAGCCUGCGAUCAGUAACUGGUGUGAGAGCACGACCAGUCACACGGGCACUGAGACACGGGCCCGACUCCUACGGGAGGCAGCAGUAAGGAAUAUUGGUCAAUGGACGAAAGUCUGAACCAGCCAUGCCGCGUGGAGGAUGAAGGUCCUCUGGAUUGUAAACUUCUUUUAUCUGGGAAGAAAAAAGGGAAUUCUUUCCCGUCUGACGGUACCAGAUGAAUAAGCACCGGCUAACUCCGUGCCAGCAGCCGCGGUAAUACGGAGGGUGCAAGCGUUAUCCGGAUUCACUGGGUUUAAAGGGUGCGUAGGUGGAUUGCCAAGUCCGUGGUGAAAUCUCCGAGCUUAACUCGGAAACUGCCGUGGAUACUGGUAGUCUUGAAUAUUGUGGAGGUCAGCGGAAUAUGUCAUGUAGCGGUGAAAUGCUUAGAGAUGACAUAGAACACCAAUUGCGAAGGCAGCUGGCUACGCAUAUAUUGACACUGAGGCACGAAAGCGUGGGGAUCAAACAGGAUUAGAUACCCUAGUAGUCC